AGAGUUUGAUCAUGGCUCAGAUUGAACGCUGGCGGCAGGCCUAGCACAUGCAAGUCGAACGGUAACAGGAAGAAGCUUGCUUCUUUGCUGACGAGUGGCGGACGGGUGAGUAAUGUCUGGGAAACUGCCUGAUGGAGGGGGAUAACUACUGGAAACGGUAGCUAAUACCGCAUAACGUCGCAAGACCAAAGAGGGGGACCUUCGGGCCUCUUGCCAUCGGAUGUGCCCAGAUGGGAUUAGCUAGUAGGUGGGGUAACGGCUCACCUAGGCGACGAUCCCUAGCUGGUCUGAGAGGAUGACCAGCCACACUGGAACUGAGACACGGUCCAGACCCCUACGGGAGGCAGCAGUGGGGAAUAUUGCACAAUGGGCGCAAGCCUGAUGCAGCCAUGCCGCGUGUAUGAAGAAGGCCUUCGGGUUGUAAAGUACUUUCAGCGGGGAGGAAGGGAGUAAAGUUAAUACCUUUGCUCAUUGACGUUACCCGCAGAAGAAGCACCGGCUAACUCCGUGCCAGCAGCCGCGGUAAUACGGAGGGUGCAAGCGCUAAUCGGAAUUACUGGGCGUAAAGCGCACGCAGGCGGUUUGUUAAGUCAGAUGUGAAAUCCCCGGGCUCAACCUGGGAACUGCAUCUGAUACUGGCAAGCUUGAGUCUCGUAGAGGGGGGUAGAAUUCCAGGUGUAGCGGUGAAAUGCGUAGAGAUCUGGAGGAAUACCGGUGGCGAAGGCGGCCCCCUGGACGAAGACUGACGCUCAGGUGCGAAAGCGUGGGGAGCAAACAGGAUUAGAUACCCUGGUAGUCCACGCCGUAAACGAUGUCGACUUGGAGGUUGUGCCCUUGAGGCGUGGCUUCCGGAGCUAACGCGUUAAGUCGACCGCCUGGGGAGUACGGCCGCAAGGUUAAAACUCAAAUGAAUUGACGGGGGCCCGCACAAGCGGUGGAGCAUGUGGUUUAAUUCGAUGCAACGCGAAGAACCUUACCUGGUCUUGACAUCCACGGAAGUUUUCAGAGAUGAGAAUGUGCCUACGGGAACCGUGAGACAGGUGCUGCAUGGCUGUCGUCAGCUCGUGUUGUGAAAUGUUGGGUUAAGUCCCGCAACGAGCGCAACCCUUAUCCUUUGUUGCCAGCGGUCCGGCCGGGAACUCAAAGGAGACUGCCAGUGAUAAACUGGAGGAAGGUGGGGAUGACGUCAAGUCAUCAUGGCCCUUACGACCAGGGCUACACACGUGCUACAAUGGCGCAUACAAAGAGAAGCGACCUCGCGAGAGCAAGCGGACCUCAUAAAGUGCGUCGUAGUCCGGAUUGGAGUCUGCAACUCGACUCCAUGAAGUCGGAAUCGCUAGUAAUCGUGGAUCAGAAUGCCACGGUGAAUACGUUCCCGGGCCUUGUACACACCGCCCGUCACACCAUGGGAGUGGGUUGCAAAAGAAGUAGGUAGCUUAACCUUCGGGAGGGCGCUUACCACUUUGUGAUUCAUGACUGGGGUGAAGUCGUAACAAGGUA
rnacentral:rRNA from 1 species